UAAUGACUCUCGGCAACGGAUAUCUCGGAAAUGCGAUACUUGGUGUGAAUUGCAGAAUCCCGUGAACCAUCGAGUCUUUGAACGCAAGUUGCGCCUGAAGCUAUUUGGCUGAGGGCACGUCUUCCUGGGUGUCAUAC
rnacentral:rRNA from 1 species